GGAGCCUACGGGGCGCAGCAGUGGGGAAUAUUGCACAAUGGGGGGAACCCUGAUGCAGCGACGCCGCGUGAGUGAAGAAGUAUUUCGGUAUGUAAAGCUCUGUCAGCAGGGAAGAAGAAAGACGGUACCUGACCAAGAAGCCCCGGCUAACUACGUGCCAGCAGCCGCGGUAAUACGUAGGGGGCAAGCGUUAUCCGGAUUUACUGGGUGUAAAGGGAGCGCAGGCGGGAAGCCAAGUCAGCUGUGAAAACUACGGGCUUAACUUGUAGACGGCAGUUGAAACUGGUUUUCUUGAGUGAAGUAGA
rnacentral:rRNA from 1 species